rnacentral:rRNA from 1 species
CCUACGGGAGGCAGCAGUGGGGAAUAUUGCACAAUGGGGGAAACCCUGAUGCAGCGACGCCGCGUGAGUGAAGAAGUAUUUCGGUAUGUAAAGCUCUAUCAGCAGGGAAGAAAAUGACGGUACCUGAUUAAGAAGCCCCGGCUAACGACGUGCCAGCAGCCGCGGUAAUACGUAGGGGGCAAGCGUUAUCCGGAUUUACUGGGUGUAAAGGGAGCGUAGACGGCAGCACAAGUCUGAAGUGAAAUCCCGGGGCUUAACCCCGGAACUGCUUUGGAAACUGUGCAGCUUGAGUGCAGGAGAGGUAGGUGGAAUUCCGAGUGUAGCGGUGAAAUGCGUAGAUAUUAGGAGGAACACCAGUGGCGAAGGCGGCUUACUGGACUGUAACUGACGUUGAGGCUCGAAAGCGUGGGGAGCAAACAGGAUUAGAUACCCCAGUAGUC